CCUGGCUCAGAAUGAACGCUGGCGGCAUGGAUUAGGCAUGCAAGUCGAACGAGAAAGCGCCUCGGACGCGAGUAAAGUGGCGCAAGGGUGAGUAACACGUGAGGAACCUGCCCCCGAGCCCGGAACAAGCCUGGGAAACCGGGUCUGAAACCGGAUGGACGGCCCCCCGGCCGCAUGGCCGGCGGGCCAAAUAUUCAUAGCUUGGGGAUGGCCUCGCGUCCCAUUAGCUUGUUGGCGGGGUGACGGCCCACCAAGGCGACGACGGGUAGGUGGUCUGAGAGGAUGGUCACCCACACUGGGACUGAGACACUGCCCAGACUCCUACGGGAGGCUGCAGUCGAGAAUCUUCCGCAAUGGGCGCAAAGCCUGACGGAGCGAUGCCGCGUGAGGGACGAAGGCCCUAGGGUUGUAAACCUCUGUCGUCCGGGACGAAACCAAUGACGGUACCGGGCAAGAAAGCCACGGCUAACUACGUGCCAGCCGCCGC
rnacentral:rRNA from 1 species